GAGGGGAUCAAUGUGGCAGCUACUACCAUGUACUUGAUUCACAUCAAAGAAGAAGAAGAAGAAGAAGAAGAAGAAACUACUACCAUACUACCAACUGAGUUGAUCAUGUGGUUGUUGUUAAGAAUCAACCCUCAACGUCAUGAAUAAACAACCUGAGAAUUUAACUUUUUUCCAUCAUUUUCCAACUCAAAAAAACUGGCAUUCGAGUAUAUCAUGCAACAACUACCAU
rnacentral:lncRNA from 1 species